GUCUACGGCCAUGCUACCCCGAACAAACCUGAUCCCAUCUGAUCUCGGAAGCUAAGCAGGGUCGGGCCUGGUUAGUACUUGGAUGGGAGACCACCUAGAAAGACCAGGUGCUGUAGGCA
rnacentral:rRNA from 1 species